AAACCAACAGGSAUUGCCUUAGUAGCGGCGAGUGAAGCGGCAAAAGCUCAAAUUUGAAAUCUGGCUCUUUCAGAGUCCGAGUUGUAAUUUGAAGAAGGUAUCUUUGGGUCUGGCUCUUGUCUAUGUUUCUUGGAACAGAACGUCACAGAGGGUGAGAAUCCCGUGCGAUGAGAUGAUCCAGGCCUAUGUAAAGUUCCUUCGAAGAGUCGAGUUGUUUGGGAAUGCAGCUCUAAGUGGGUGGUAAAUUCCAUCUAAAGCUAAAUAUUGGCGAGAGACCGAUAGCGAACAAGUACAGUGAUGGAAAGAUGAAAAGAACUUUGAAAAGAGAGUGAAAAAGUACGUGAAAUUGUUGAAAGGGAAGGGCUUGAGAUCAGACUUGGUAUUUUGUAUGUUACUUCUUCGGGGGUGGCCUCUACAGUUUAUCGGGCCAGCAUCAGUUUGGGCGGUAGGAGAAUUGCGUUGGAAUGUGGCACGGCUUCGGUUGUGUGUUAUAGCCUUCGUCGAUACUGCCAGCCUAGACUGAGGACUGCGGUUUAUACCUAGGAUGUUGGCAUAAUGAUCUUAAGUCGC
rnacentral:rRNA from 1 species